rnacentral:rRNA from 1 species
GGUUAAGCGACUAAGCGUACACGGUGGAUGCCCUGGCAGUCAGAGGCGAUGAAGGACGUGCUAAUCUGCGAUAAGCGUCGGUAAGGUGAUAUGAACCGUUAUAACCGGCGAUUUCCGAAUGGGGAAACCCAGUGUGAUUCGUCACACUAUCAUUAACUGAAUCCAUAGGUUAAUGAGGCGAACCGGGGGAACUGAAACAUCUAAGUACCCCGAGGAAAAGAAAUCAACCGAGAUUCCCCCAGUAGCGGCGAGCGGACGGGGAGCAGCCCAGAGCCUGAAUCAGUGUGUGUGUUAGUGGAAGCGUCUGGAAAGGCGUGCGAUACAGGGUGACAGCCCCGUACACAAAAAUGCACAUAUUGUGAGCUUGAUGAGUAGGGCGGGACACGUGGUAUCCUGUCUGAAUAUGGGGGGACCAUCCUCCAAGGCUAAAUACUCCUGACUGACCGAUAGUGAACCAGUACCGUGAGGGAAAGGCGAAAAGAACCCCGGCGAGGGGAGUGAAAAAGAACCUGAAACCGUGUACGUACAAGCAGUGGGAGCACGCUUAGGCGUGUGACUGCGUACCUUUUGUAUAAUGGGUCAGCGACUUAUAUUCUGUAGCAAGGUUAACCGAAUAGGGGAGCCGAAGGGAAACCGAGUCUUAACUGGGCGUUAAGUUGCAGGGUAUAGACCCGAAACCCGGUGAUCUAGCCAUGGGCAGGUUGAAGGUUGGGUAACACUAACUGGAGGACCGAACCGACUAAUGUUGAAAAAUUAGCGGAUGACUUGUGGCUGGGGGUGAAAGGCCAAUCAAACCGGGAGAUAGCUGGUUCUCCCCGAAAGCUAUUUAGGUAGCGCCUCGUGAAUUCAUCUCCGGGGGUAGAGCACUGUUUCGGCAAGGGGGUCAUCCCGACUUACCAACCCGAUGCAAACUGCGAAUACCGGAGAAUGUUAUCACGGGAGACACACGGCGGGUGCUAACGUCCGUCGUGAAGAGGGAAACAACCCAGACCGCCAGCUAAGGUCCCAAAGUCAUGGUUAAGUGGGAAACGAUGUGGGAAGGCCCAGACAGCCAGGAUGUUGGCUUAGAAGCAGCCAUCAUUUAAAGA